ACCGCGUGUACCGAGUCACCACGCUGCACACCAAAAGCGAGGACAAAGUGACAUGUCAACUAGGCUCAGUUUAUUUAAAAGGUGAACAGAGGAAACCAGAGAAAUUCCAAUUAAGGCCCUGCGGGGUCGGGAUGGAGUUUGAUUCUCCCAUCGAAGGGAAGCCAAGGAGAAAGUGUGGGAGCCUCAGUGGAAGUCUUAGGGCAGCGCUCCGCAGACAUCCCGGAGGCUCUGGCUCCGCUGCAUCUUCGACUCGCAGGCCCAGGUGGGCAGGGCUGAGACGCUGCGGGUCUCACAUGCCCAGGUGAUGCCCACGGCGCAGGUCCACCUUGCACAGCCCGCCCCGGGACAACCACACAGGGCACCUGGGCAGGGUCUUAUCAACGCUGCUCCGAAAGGAGACUCGGGGCCACGGAAGACUAACCAGAGUGGCCUGCCCGUGGAAAGCACACUCGUGUGUAACUCUGUACCGCCUGCCUUCUAGCUUCAAAGGCCAAGGAGGUGCACAGAGAGCCUGCGCAUCCCAGACUAAACAAUCCCAGGUUUACACGACAUCUUGUCCACAAUGUGAUGACCAUCUACAUACAUUUUGGUCUUGUUUGGGCAGUAAUAUACUGGAAUCUGUAAUAUUUAAAAAUAUUAAGCUUAAUUCCUGAUUACCAUACAAUAAAUACUGAUGAUGAAUGUGUCUCAUUCAGUGAGGGAUAGCAAACGCUCUUUUCCACAGUCACUGAAUGCCGCAGGACUGCUUCAGCAUCACCUACGGAGCAGGGGACACGGCAGGCCCAAGAGCAGGUGGCGGUCCUCAGUCUGAGGUGGCAACAAUGUAACUGUGACUAAAAUUAAGAGCAGCACUGAGCAUCACCAUCUCCAACUUACAAAAGCAGGUUUGCCUCUGAGAGCCUCUGUAACAGGAGAACGCUCCCUUUAGUUUUAUUACAAAAGGCAACUUUAAGUAAGCAAUGCGCAACUAUCAAAAUGUCUUUAAAAAAAAUUACCCCUAAUUUAAAAUCAAGUGAUGCUAUAUUUCUAACAGAAAAAAAUGACUAAAACUUAUAUUAUUUAUGGAUUAAUAAGUUUCAGCUAACCAAGAUGUUUGAUAGAAAAAAAAUGACAGGAAAAUCACAGAAUUUUUAAGAUACCCACUUCCAAAGUGCAAACCAAGUUUAUGAUUUCUUGGUUCUAAUCAAAUACCCAAUAGUGAUUAUUCC
ensembl:lncRNA